rnacentral:lncRNA from 1 species
UACAUACAUACACACAUACAUAUUGUUAUAGUAAAAUAUAUAUUUCACAGUAUCACUGUUUAUGUCAUCAUCACCAUUAUCAUCAUCACAAAGCUCCUACACGAUCACUCAACUCGCUAGAAAUAGCAGCCAAAAUUUCCUUUAAAACCACACUCUACCGUCUUAAACGAGGAAACAAAUUAGUUAAUAUGGUCCUAAAUGCCUUUAGUGAGGUGAUUGUCAAGGCUAGACUACUUCCAGUUAUAAGUCUGCAUGAUCACAGUUGACUUUGAGCUAAACAACAACUAACACUCUAUCCUGUUGUCUUGUUUUAUGAACAUCUUUUUGAUGUUUUUUUUUUUUUUUGCUCAUCUAAAAGUAUGAGAAGCUGGCAAACUUAUAAGACAAAAUCAUCUUCAUUCAUAUUUGUUAUGUAAUCUUCCUUCCUCUCUCCCCACUCUCUCUCUCUCUCAUCCACUUUCAGACUAUCACCAGGCAGGAUGUCACCAGGGGGUUGGAGGGGAAAAUGGUUUUGGUUCUCUGAAAUAAAUCUAAGCUAUCUCAUCUUCAAGACUGUUUCUUAUUCUGCCCCCAUCACAUCCUCUCAUUCUUCACUUCUCCAACACUUUGUCAGUGCCUGAAUCUCUGCUACCUCUGUCUAAUUAGUUACGUCUCAGUUGGAAACCCUUCUUGUUUAUUGUAGCUACUCUGAGUACCUGGUGCUACUCACCCUACUGGUUGGUUAUUUAGUUGGACAUUGACUGUGUUUUGAUAGACUAAUGGUAGAAGUUGAACCCAGACUAGGUUUGUUUUUAUUCAAUGACCAAUGACUUAAGAGGAGAUCAUGGUUUUCAUUGAAUGUCAUGAGAUAAGUGAAUUAAGGGGAAAAUCAGAUUUUGAGGGAAUGGUAGGUGAAUGGUUGUGUUGCAAAAAAGGAGAGGCGGUUAGCACUCCCUUUGACAAGGAUGGAAGAGAUCAAUCGAUCUUUCCAACACAUAUGGGCAUUGCUCUCUACUUUAGAGCAACCUAUUUAAAAAUAGGUGGCGAGUUGGCAGAAACAUUAGGAUGCCGGGCGAAAUGCUUAGCAGUAUUUCGUCUGCCGUUACAUUCUGAGUUCAAAUUCCACCGAGGUCGACUUUGCCUUUCAUUCUUUCAGGGUCGAUUAAAUAAGUACCAGUUACACACUGGGGUUGAUGUAAUCAACUUAAUCCCUUUGUCUGUCCUUGUUUGUCCUCUUUGUGUUUAGCCCCUUGUGAGUAAUUAAGAAAUAGGUAGGUGAUAUGAGGGCAGAUGAGAUUUUACCAGAGAGGUAGAGAGAUGAUUUGGGGACCAGGCAUUUGAAAAUAUUUUUUUGUUUUUGUUGUUGUUGUUAAUUGACUACAUGGCAGGGGAGGGGAUAUAGAUGUGUGUCUCAAUUUCAUGAAACACAUUUCAAGGGAUUUUUACAACUGAAUCAUUUCUGUAGGAUAUCAGAAUAUUUUCUAUACUAUUGGAACUCUUCAACAUAUAUAUAUAUAUAUAUAAACGCACAUAUGUGCACACACACACACACACACACACACUAAUUCAUGUCUAUUUUCCAUGCUGGCAUGGGUUGGACAGUUCAACAAGAUCCAACAGAUCAGAGGACCGGUUUUGCCAUGGUUUCUACUGCUGGAUGCUCUUCCUGAUCCCAAACACUUUACAGAGUGUACCAGGUGCUCUUUUUUUUUUUGGCACAACCACAAUAGACAUUUCCAUGUAACUUGCAGUUGAAGAACCUCCUCAACUGAGAAGAGCAGUUUUGAGCGAAGUGUCUUUAUUGGGGAUGUUGGGAGGCAAAAGUAUAAUAGAAGGGGACAAGUACAAGAUGUAACAGAGAUGCAUGGCUACCCACACAUUAUAUGAAGGUAAAUGGGAGCAAAUGUGGUAUAAAGGCCUUGUGCCUUUAGUAGAAAGGAUUAUUAUUAUUAUUAUUAUUAGGAUUGGGUAGCAAGCUGGCAGAAUGUUAAGUGCAUCAGACAAAAUACUUUGUGGCAUUUUUUUCCAGCUCUUUGCAUUCAGAGUUCAAAUUCUGGUGAGGUCAACUUUGCCUUUCAUCCUUCCAGGGUCAAUAUAAUAAGUAUCAGGUUAUGUAAUUGACUCAUCCCAGCACCCCUAAAAUUGCUAGUCUUCUAUCAAAAUUGAAGACAUUUAUUAUCCGGGUGAUCUAGAGGCAGAAAUGGUUGAGUGAUGGACAAAUAUGUUGGGGCCUUGUGCCUGGGUUGAAAUGCAUCAUCAUCAUCAUCAUCACUACCACCACAUUUACUCAUCAGGUAGUCCCCCCCCCCCAACUUACAUACACUCUCAAAAGUUUUGUUUUAUCUUCUCUUUUCUGCUAUCCAUUAAGGUGUUGAAGAGAAACUUUAAUGUUUCCAGCUGCCCGGUGUCAUAAACAAACAAACUAUAUAUAUAUAUAUAUAUAUAUAUAUAUAUAUAUAUAUAUAUAUAUAUAUAUAUAUAUAUAUAUA